rnacentral:rRNA from 1 species
UACGUAGGGCGCAAGCGUUAUCCGGAAUUAUUGGGCGUAAAGAGCUCGUAGGCGGUUUGUCGCGUCUGCCGUAAAAUCCCGAGGCUCAACCUCGGGUCUGCAGUGGGUACGGGCAGACUAGAGUGCGGGAGGGGAGAUUGGAAUUCCUGGUGUAGCGGUGGAAUGCGCAGAUAUCAGGAGGAACACCGAUGGCGAAGGCAGAUCUCUGGGCCGUAACUGACGCGGGGGAGCGAAAGGGUGGGGAGCAAACAGGCUUAGAUACCCUGGUAGUCCACCCCGUAAACGUUGGGAACUAGUUGUGGGGUCCAUUCCACGGAUUCCGUGACGCAGCUAACGCAUUAAGUUCCCCGCCUGGGGAGUACGGCCGCAAGGCUAAA